UUAGUUUUUUCAGUAUGUAGAGACUGGGUAGAAAGGUGAACUGUUUUUACUAACAUUUUAAUACGUUAAUUGGCUUGUCAAGCAUGAGUUUAUUCACUCAACCACAUCCGUGUGCAUGAAUGACUAUUUCGAAUGUCAUUCUUUGCAUAUCAUUCAUGCUGUCAACCUGUAUGUUUAUGAUAUUAAAUCAUAAAUAUAAUAUAUUUAGAAACCCAAACGUGUUGUUCGAAGAAAGAACCCUAAACGCCCAUACGGCAACACUGGCGCCCAACAACGAGUCUUCGGCAACAACAGCGUUUGGAGCAGAAAAACGGAAGUAGCGGACACGUUACUACGGCGAAAAUCCCUGAACAGACAGGAGCCUCAGACCGGUAGCGAGGAGGGUAGAGUCCAGGAAUUUAACACAGCGAUUCCUUGGAAACCGGUUUUUGAUUUUUCCCGGGGAGUAGGAGUCCACAUUUUUGCGCGGCAUCGAGCUCGAGCACCGAUGUGAGUACAACUACGUAUUUCUUGUGCACAAAACUUUGACGUCAAAACCGUUAAAACGUACGUACAGGAUUUCACGUUCUGCUACGCAAGGAAGGAUUCACGUUCAAUCAGGACGGAGAGUGAUGGACACUUAAAUCGUUGUGGACAUUGUGUAUCGUGUCAUUAUUGUGUUUUGCUUGUAUUUUGUAAGUGUUCCGACGGAGUUCGGUGAGUGUAAAUAUUUUUAUAAUUAUUGUGCAAUGUACAUA